rnacentral:rRNA from 1 species
CACGUAGGGGCCAAGCGUUGUCCGGAUUCAUUGGGCGUAAAGAGCUCGUAGGCGGUUCAGUUAGUCGGGUGUGAAAUCUCCGGGCUCAACCCGGAGGGGUCACCCGAUACUGCUGUGACUCGAGUCCGGUAGGGGAGUGGGGAAUUCCUGGUGUAGCGGUGAAAUGCGCAGAUAUCAGGAGGAACACCGGUGGCGAAAGCGGCCUUCUGGACGAGGACUGACGCUGAGAUGCGAAAGCGUGGGGAGCAAACAGG